UACGUAGGGGGCAAGCGUUGUCCGGAUUCAUUGGGCGUAAAGAGCGUGUAGGCGGCCAGGUAGGUCGGUUGUGAAAACUGGAGGCUCAACCUUCAGAGGUCGACCGAAACCAUCUGGCUAGAGUCCGGGAGAGGAGAGUGGAAUUCCUGGUGUAGCGGUGAAAUGCGCAGAUAUCAGGAAGAACACCCGCGGCGAAAGCGGCUCUCUGGAACGGUACUGACGCUGAGACGCGAAAGCGUGGGGAGCGAACAGG
rnacentral:rRNA from 1 species